CUCAGGACGAACGCUGGCGGCGUGCCUAAUACAUGCAAGUCGAGCGGACAGAUGGGAGCUUGCUCCCUGAUGUUAGCGGCGGACGGGUGAGUAACACGUGGGUAACCUGCCUGUAAGACUGGGAUAACUCCGGGAAACCGGGGCUAAUACCGGAUGCUUGUUUGAACCGCAUGGUUCAAACAUAAAAGGUGGCUUCGGCUACCACUUACAGAUGGACCCGCGGCGCAUUAGCUAGUUGGUGAGGUAAUGGCUCACCAAGGCAACGAUGCGUAGCCGACCUGAGAGGGUGAUCGGCCACACUGGGACUGAGACACGGCCCAGACUCCUACGGGAGGCAGCAGUAGGGAAUCUUCCGCAAUGGACGAAAGUCUGACGGAGCAACGCCGCGUGAGUGAUGAAGGUUUUCGGAUCGUAAAGCUCUGUUGUUAGGGAAGAACAAGUACCGUUCGAAUAGGGCGGUACCUUGACGGUACCUAACCAGAAAGCCACGGCUAACUACGUGCCAGCAGCCGCGGUAAUACGUAGGUGGCAAGCGUUGUCCGGAAUUAUUGGGCGUAAAGGGCUCGCAGGCGGUUUCUUAAGUCUGAUGUGAAAGCCCCCGGCUCAACCGGGGAGGGUCAUUGGAAACUGGGGAACUUGAGUGCAGAAGAGGAGAGUGGAAUUCCACGUGUAGCGGUGAAAUGCGUAGAGAUGUGGAGGAACACCAGUGGCGAAGGCGACUCUCUGGUCUGUAACUGACGCUGAGGAGCGAAAGCGUGGGGAGCGAACAGGAUUAGAUACCCUGGUAGUCCACGCCGUAAACGAUGAGUGCUAAGUGUUAGGGGGUUUCCGCCCCUUAGUGCUGCAGCUAACGCAUUAAGCACUCCGCCUGGGGAGUACGGUCGCAAGACUGAAACUCAAAGGAAUUGACGGGGGCCCGCACAAGCGGUGGAGCAUGUGGUUUAAUUCGAAGCAACGCGAAGAACCUUACCAGGUCUUGACAUCCUCUGACAAUCCUAGAGAUAGGACGUCCCCUUCGGGGGCAGAGUGACAGGUGGUGCAUGGUUGUCGUCAGCUCGUGUCGUGAGAUGUUGGGUUAAGUCCCGCAACGAGCGCAACCCUUGAUCUUAGUUGCCAGCAUUCAGUUGGGCACUCUAAGGUGACUGCCGGUGACAAACCGGAGGAAGGUGGGGAUGACGUCAAAUCAUCAUGCCCCUUAUGACCUGGGCUACACACGUGCUACAAUGGACAGAACAAAGGGCAGCGAAACCGCGAGGUUAAGCCAAUCCCACAAAUCUGUUCUCAGUUCGGAUCGCAGUCUGCAACUCGACUGCGUGAAGCUGGAAUCGCUAGUAAUCGCGGAUCAGCAUGCCGCGGUUGAAUACGUUCCCGGGCCUUGUACACACCGCCCGUCACACCACGAGAGUUUGUAACACCCGAAGUCGGUGAGGUAACCUUUUAGGAGCCAGCCGCCGAAGGUGGGACAGAUGAUUGG
rnacentral:rRNA from 1 species